rnacentral:rRNA from 1 species
UACGGAGGGGGCUAGCGUUGUUCGGAAUUACUGGGCGUAAAGCGCACGUAGGCGGCUUUGUAAGUUAGAGGUGAAAGCCCAGGGCUUAACCCUGGAAUUGCCUUUAAGACUGCAUCGCUGGAAUCGUGGAGAGGUGAGUGGAAUUCCGAGUGUAGAGGUGAAAUUCGUAGAUAUUCGGAAGAACACCAGUGGCGAAGGCGACUCACUGGACACGUAUUGACGCUGAGGUGCGAAAGCGUGGGGAGCAAACAGG